AGAUUGAACGCUGGCGGCAGGCCUAACACAUGCAAGUCGAGCGGUAGAGAGGUGCUUGCACCUCUUGAGAGCGGCGGACGGGUGAGUAAUGCCUAGGAAUCUGCCUAGUGGUGGGGGAUAACGUUCGGAAACGGACGCUAAUACCGCAUACGUCCUACGGGAGAAAGCGGGGGACCUUCGGGCCUCGCGCCAUUAGAUGAGCCUAGGUCGGAUUAGCUAGUUGGUGAGGUAAUGGCUCACCAAGGCGACGAUCCGUAACUGGUCUGAGAGGAUGAUCAGUCACACUGGAACUGAGACACGGUCCAGACCUCCGUACGGGAGGCGAGCCGAGUAGGGGAAUAGUUAGGAACAAGUUGGGCGAAAGCCUGACUCACG
rnacentral:rRNA from 1 species